rnacentral:rRNA from 1 species
GCAUCGGAACAUGUCCAUGUCGUGGGGGAUAGCCCGGCGAAAGCCGGAUUAAUACCGCAUACGCCCGAGAGGGGAAAGUGGGGGACCGCAAGGCCUCACGCGAUUGGGUUGGCCGAUGUCCGAUUAGCUAGUUGGCGGGGUAAGAGCCCACCAAGGCGAUGAUCGGUAGCUGGUCUGAGAGGAUGAUCAGCCACACUGGGACUGAGACACGGCCCAG